rnacentral:rRNA from 1 species
UACGUAGGUGGCAAGCGUUGUCCGGAAUUACUGGGCGUAAAGGCGCGUAGCGGCCUGCUAAGUCGAACGUGAAAUCCCCGAGCUCAACUCGGGAACUGCGUCCGAUACUGGUUGGCUUGAAUCGGAGAGGGAUGCGGAAUUCCAGUGUAGCGGUGAAAUGACGUAGAUAUCUGGAGGAACACCGGUGGCGAAGGCGGCAUCCUGGACCGGCAUUGACGCUGAGGCGCGAAAAAGCCAGGGGGAGCAAACGGGG